rnacentral:misc_RNA from 1 species
AAAGUCGUAACAAGGUAUCCGUUGGUGAACCAGCGGAUGGAUCAUUACCUGAAGAUAUAAUGCCAAUUAAUUGGUAUGGCUGACUGUCGGUUAGCCUCUGGUUUGGUUGGAGAAUCAGCCUGCCAGGACUCGUGGUGUGCAAAGAGUCGCACGCUUGAUGAGUGAAGGGAUUGCUGGGAUGGAUUUCCAAAGAAGUCCAGGCGAGAUGCAACCUCAAUCCCUGAGACUGCCAUUGACUUCACCUAAGCGAUUGUCUUAAAAAUGACAACUGCUGGCCGUGGAUCACUUGGCUGAC